rnacentral:tRNA from 1 species
UGUAGUGUAGCUCAGUGGUAGAGUGCGUGCGUAGCAUGCACGAGGUCCUGGGUUCAAUCCCCAGUGCCCCCA